rnacentral:rRNA from 1 species
AACGAACGCUGGCGGCAUGCCUAACACAUGCAAGUCGAACGAGACCUUCGGGUCUAGUGGCGCACGGGUGCGUAACGCGUGGGAACCUGCCCUUAGGUUCGGAAUAACUCCCCGAAAGGGGUGCUAAUACCGGAUAAUGUCUUCGGACCAAAGAUUUAUCGCCUUUGGAUGGGCCCGCGUUGGAUUAGCUAGUUGGUAGGGUAAAAGCCUACCAAGGCGACGAUCCAUAGCUGGUCUGAGAGGAUGAUCAGCCACACUGGGACUGAGACACGGCCCAGACUCCUACGGGAAGCAGCAGUGGGGAAUAUUGGACAAUGGGCGAAAGCCUGAUCCAGCAAUGCCGCGUGAGUGAUGAAGGCCUUAGGGUUGUAAAACUCUUUUACCCGGGAUGAUAAUGACAGUACCGGGAGAAUAAGCGCCGGCUAACUCCGUG